rfam:Oryza barthii chromosome 11, whole genome shotgun sequence.
AAAAAGACAAACCCUAGGUUUCCGUGUCCAACUUUAACUGUCCGUCUUAUAUGAAAUUUUUUUGUAAUUCGUAUUUUCAUUGUUGUUAGAUGAUAAAACAUGAUUAAUAUUUUAUGCGUGACUUGUCUUUUUAAUUUUUUUCAUAAUUUUUUCAAAUAAGACGACACGGAAACCAGGGUUUGUCUUUUU